UACGUAGGGGGCAAGCGUUAUCCGGAAUUACUGGGUGUAAAGGGAGCGUAGACGGUAGAGCAAGUCUGGAGUGAAAGCCCGCGGCCCAACUGCGGGACUGCUUUGGAAACUGUUCAACUGGAGUGCUGGAGAGGUAAGCGGAAUUCCUAGUGUAGCGGUGAAAUGCGUAGAUAUUAGGAGGAACACCAGUGGCGAAGGCGGCUUACUGGACAGUAACUGACGUUGAGGCUCGAAAGCGUGGGGAGCAA
rnacentral:rRNA from 1 species